AGGGGGUGGUGGCGAGGCUCCGCAACUUUGGAAACUGCCAUUUCAUUCACACAAGGCACUGCCUGGGGGAGGGGGCUGUUCCUGGCUGCAGAAUUCUAGCUCUCACGAGCACGCAGACAACCGCACUCGCAGCGGUGUGGGGCCGGCUGCUCAGGGGAAGCCCCAGGCUCUCCGACCCAGCUACCGGGAAUGGGGCACCCUUUGGAGAAGAACCCCAGCCUGGGGUGGGGACGCACCGGCUCUCCGACAGCUCAAACACAGACAGAUCUUCUAGAGCCGAGGGAAUUUCUUUUCGCAGAAGCCAUUACUCCCCCCGCCCCCUAAUCGCCACCAAGCCCUCCUGCUGAAUUCUCGCCUAGCAUCCUGUCCUUUCCUGUCCAGCACUCACCUCCAUUUGUAAUGAUCCAUGCCUGGGAGUAUUUGUUUAGUGCUCACUUCCGUGACACUGUGGAAGACAGGCUCAGUCUCCCUCACUAACCUGUGACCUGGGUCAGUUUUGCUCCAGAGGGAAUCCUUACGGCACAGCAGUGUACCUGUAUAUAGGGAUGGUACGCCAUGAAGGCCCUCAGCAAUUGCUGGCACCUUGAUAUUGGACUUCUCAGCCUCCAGAAACAUGAGAAAUACAUUUCUUUUCUUUAUAAAUUACCCAGUCUGUGCUAUUAGGUUAUAGCAACACAAAAUGAACUGAGACAAGUACCCAUCUAUUACUGUGUCUGAGCCCCUGGGUGGGUUUGGAACAGAGGUAAGUUAAGGUACAGCCGCAAGGAGCUCACUGUGGACCAGGGAAGGAGACCCACAUCUGAAAUGGAUGCCUCAAUCUAAUCACCAACUGCUAGGAUAGAGUUAUACACAGCAUUUGGUUUAUAAUUAAGGUGAUUUUUGAGAGAGGAGAAUAUUUUAGUUUACAAAUCUCCUCUUUACUAAGACACACACACACAAAGAAACAACACACACAUACACAUGUUGAGAAGGGCCCAAAUCAUGACUGGCUAGGAGAGCAACAGCCUCUAGAUGGUUUUUCCAGAUUGUGAAUUAAAGAUCUGCUGGGUUGGCCAGGCAUGGUGGCUCACGCCUGUAAUCCUGGCACUUCAAGAGUCUGAGGAGGGCAGAUGGCUUGAGCCCAGGAUUUUGAGACCGGCCUGGGCAACAUGGUGAAACCCUGUCUCUACAAAAAAUAUAAAAAUUAGCUGGGCGUGGUGGGUGCGUGCCUGUGGUCCCAGCUACUUGGGAGGCUGAGGCAGGAAGAUCACCUGAGCCCAGGGAGAUCAAGGCUGCAGUGUGCCAUCAUCACACCACUGCACUCCAGCCUGGAUGACAGAGUGAGACCUUGUCUCAAAAGAAAAAAAAAAAGAUCUACUGAGUCUGUCUUCAGGGACAAGAGCACAGUUUCUCCUAGGAUCUUCACACCUCCCUCAAAAUGUGUACAUUUUUACUGAUUAAAUAAUUUAAAAAUC
rnacentral:lncRNA from 10 species